rnacentral:rRNA from 1 species
UACGAAGGGGGCUAGCGUUGCUCGGAAUCACUGGGCGUAAAGCGCACGUAGGCGGGUCGUUAAGUCGGGGGUGAAAUCCUGGAGCUCAACUCCAGAACUGCCUUCGAUACUGGCGAUCUUGAGUCUGGGAGAGGUGAGUGGAACUCCGAGUGUAGAGGUGAAAUUCGUAGAUAUUCGGAAGAACACCAGUGGCGAAGGCGGCUCACUGGCCCGGUACUGACUCUGAGGUGCGAAAGCGUGGGGAGCAAACAGG